UACGUAGGGUGCGAGCGUUAAUCGGAAUUACUGUGCGUAAAGCGUGCGCAGGCGGUUUUGUAAGCCAGAUGUGAAAUCCCCGGGCUCAACCUGGGAAUGGCAUUUGGGACUGCAAGGCUGGAGUUUGGCAGAGGAGGCUGGAAUUCCUGGUGUAGCAGUGAAAUGCGUAGAUAUCUGGAGGAACACCGGUGGCGAAGGCGGCAUCCUGGACCGGCAUUGACGCUGAUGAGCGAAAGCCAGGGGAGCAAACGGG
rnacentral:rRNA from 1 species